UUUCCCUGGCAGUGGGCCAAGAGACCCCUUGUUGGUGAUGUUGUUCUUCUAUCAGUCAGGGGCAGAGCCGACGGCAGUCCUCUGCUCAUCUUAGCCUGAUGCCUGGCUUGGUGGCCGAAGCUGCUUUAUGCCUAGGACUCGUAA